rnacentral:rRNA from 1 species
GAUGAACGCUGGCGGCGUGCCUAAUACAUGCAAGUAGAACGCUGAAGCUUGGUGCUUGCACCGAGCGGAUGAGUUGCGAACGGGUGAGUAACGCGUAGGUAACCUGCCUCUUAGCGGGGGAUAACUAUUGGAAACGAUAGCUAAUACCGCAUAAAAGUCGAUAUCGCAUGAUAUUGAUUUGAAAGGUGCAAAUGCAUCACUAAGAGAUGGACCUGCGUUGUAUUAGCUAGUUGGUGAGGUAACGGCUCACCAAGGCGACGAUACAUAGCCGACCUGAGAGGGUGAUCGGCCACCCUGGGACUGAGACACGGCCCAGACUCCUACGGGAGGCAGCAGUAGGGAAUCUUCGGCAAUGGGGGCAACCCUGACCGAGCAACGCCGCGUGAGUGAAGAAGGUUUUCGGAUCGUAAAGCUCUGUUGUAAGAGAAGAACGAGUGUGAGAGUGGAAAGUUCACACUGUGACGGUAACUUACCAGAAAGGGACGGCUAACUACGUG